GCUGACGAGUCCCAAACAGGGCGAAACAACUGUCC
rnacentral:hammerhead_ribozyme from 1 species